UACAGAGGGUGCGAGCGUUGUUCGGAAUUAUUGGGCGUAAAGGGCGCGUAGGCGGUGCGGCAAGUCACCUGUGAAACCUCUGGGCUUAACUCAGAGCCUGCAGGCGAAACUGCCGUGCUGGAGUGUGGGAGAGGUGCGUGGAAUUCCCGGUGUAGCGGUGAAAUGCGUAGAUAUGACAUAGAACACCUAUUGCGAAGGCAGCUUACUACGCAGAUAUUGACGCUCAUGCACGAAAGCGUGGG
rnacentral:rRNA from 1 species